rnacentral:rRNA from 1 species
AAGUCGAACGAUGACGAAGAGCUUGCUCUUCUGAUUAGUGGCGCACGGGUGAGUAACGCGUGGAUAUCUGCCUAUCAGUGGGGGACAACUACCGGAAACGGUAGCUAAUACCGCAUACGCUGUACGCAGGAAAGCGGGGGAUCUUCGGACCUCGCGCUGAUAGAUGAGUCCGCGUCAGAUUAGCUAGUUGGUGAGGUAAAGGCUCACCAAGGCGAUGAUCUGUAACUGGUUUGAGAGGAUGAUCAGUCACACUGGAACUGAGACACGGUCCAGACUCCUACGGGAGGCAGCAGUGGGGAAUAUUGCACAAUGGGGGAAACCCUGAUGCAGCGACGCCGCGUGCGGGAAGAAGGCCUUCGGGUUGUAAACCGCUUUCAAUUGGGAAGAAGGGAUGAGAGUUAAUAGCUCUCUGACUUGACGGUACCUUUAGAAGAAGCACCGGCUAAUUUCGUGCCAGCAGCCGCGGUAAUACGAAAGGUGCAAGCGUUGUUCGGAUUUACUGGGCGUAAAGAGAUCGUAGGUGGUUUGUUAAGUCGGAUGUGAAAUCCCGGGGCUCAACCCCGGAACUGCAUUCGAUACUGGCAGGCUAGAGUUCGGGAGGGGGAAGCGGAAUUCCGUGUGUAGCAGUGAAAUGCGUAGAUAUACGGAGGAACACCUGAGGCGAAGGCGGCUUCCUGGACCGAUACUGACACUGAGGAUCGAAAGCGUGGGUAGCAAACAGGAUUAGAUACCCUGGUAGUCCACGCCCUAAACGAUGUCUACUAGCCGUAGCGGGUAUCGACCCCUGCUGUGGCGCAGCUAACGCGAUAAGUAGACCGCCUGGGGAGUACGGUCGCAAGAUU